UACAGAGGUCCCAAGCGUUGUUCGGAUUCACUGGGCGUAAAGGGUGCGUAGGUGGUGCGGUAAGUCGGAUGUGAAAUCUCGGAGCUCAACUCCGAAACUGCAUUGGAAACUACCUCGCUCGAGGGUUGGAGGGGGGACUGGAAUACUUGGUGUAGCAGUGAAAUGCGUAGAUAUCAAGUGGAACACCAGUGGCGAAGGCGAGUCCCUGGACAACUCCUGACACUGAGGCACGAAAGCUAGGGGAGCAAACAGG
rnacentral:rRNA from 1 species